UACGUAGGGGGCAAGCGUUGUCCGGAAUUAUUGGGCGUAAAGAGCGUGUAGGCGGUCCGGUAAGUCAGCUGUGAAAGUCAAGGGCUCAACCCUUGAAAGCCGGUUGAUACUGUCGGGCUAGAGUCCGGAAGAGGCGAGCGGAAUUCCCGGUGUAGCGGUGAAAUGCGCAGAUAUCGGGAGGAACACCAAUGGCGAAGGCAGCUCGCUGGGACGGUACUGACGCUGAGGCGCGAAAGCGUGGGGAGCAAACAGG
rnacentral:rRNA from 1 species